UACGUAGGGCGCGAGCGUUGUCCGGAAUUACUGGGCGUAAAGAGCUUGUAGGCGGCUUGUCGCGUCGGUCGUGAAAACUCGGGGCUCAACCCCGAGCUUGCGGUCGAUACGGGCAGGCUUGAGUACUUCAGGGGAGACUGGAAUUCCUGGUGUAGCGGUGAAAUGCGCAGAUAUCAGGAGGAACACCGGUGGCGAAGGCGGGUCUCUGGGAAGUAACUGACGCUGAGAAGCGAAAGCGUGGGUAGCGAACAGG
rnacentral:rRNA from 1 species